rnacentral:rRNA from 1 species
UCCUGGAGUGGGGGAUAGCCCGGCGAAAGCCGGAUUAAUACCGCAUACGCUCUGAGGAGGAAAGGGGGGGAUCUUCGGACCUCUCGCUCAAGGGGCGGCCGAUGGCAGAUUAGCUGGUUGGUGGGGUAAAGGCCUACCAAGGCGACGAUCUGUAGCUGGUCUGAGAGGACGACCAGCCACACUGGGACUGAGACACGGCCCAGACUCCUACGGGAGGCAGCAGUGGGGAAUUUUGGACAAUGGGCGCAAGCCUGAUCCAGCAAUGCCGCGUGUGUGAAGAAGGCCUUCGGGUUGUAAAGCACUUUUGUCCGGAAAGAAAACCUCCGCCCGAAUACGGCGGGGGGAUGACGGUACCGGAAGAAUAAGCACCGGCUAACUACGUGCCAGCAGCCGCGGUAAUACGUAG